rnacentral:rRNA from 1 species
GACAGAGGGUGCAAACGUUGUUCGGAAUUACUGGGCGUAAAGCGCGUGUAGGCGGCUGGGCAAGUCGGAUGUGAAAGCCCUGGGCUUAACCUAGGAAGUGCAUUCGAAACUGCCGAGCUGGAGUCCCGGAGAGGAGGGUGGAAUUCCUGGUGUAGCGGUGAAAUGCGUAGAUAUCAGGAGGAACACCGGUGGCGAAGGCGGCCCUCUGGACGGUGACUGACGCUGAGACGCGAAAGCGUGGGGAGCAAACAGG